GACGAACGCUGGCGGCGUGCUUAACACAUGCAAGUCGAACGGAAAGGCCCUGCUUGCAGGGUACUCGAGUGGCGAACGGGUGAGUAACACGUGGGUGAUCUGCCCUGCACUUCGGGAUAAGCCUGGUAAACUGGGUCUAAUACCGGAUAGGAGCCAUUUUUAGUGUGAUGGUUGGAAAGUUUUUUCGGUGUAGGAUGAGCUCGCGGCCUAUCAGCUUGUUGGUGGGGUAAUGGCCUACCAAGGCGGCGACGGGUAGCCGGCCUGAGAGGGUGGACGGCCACAUUGGGACUGAGAGACGGCCCAGACUCCUACGGGAGGCAGCAGUGGGGAAUAUUGCACAAUGGGCGCAAGCCUGAUGCAGCGACGCCGCGUGGGGGAGGACGGCCUUCGGGUUGUAAACUCCUUUCGCUAGGGACGAAGCUUUUUGUGACGGUACCUAGAUAAGAAGCACCGGCUAACUACGUG
rnacentral:rRNA from 1 species